UGGUGUGUGGCGUCCCCCUCCUUUUGGUGUGCUGUGGUCAUGGGGAAUUGGUUCACAUCCAGAGUGUACAUCACGUGUGCUUGGGGUGGGUUUAUGUGUUGGUAACCAGUUGGGUUACAAGCUACCGGUUUGUUCGACUCUUUGGGCUGACGCUCGCCAUCCAGUACUGGAAGCUGAUCCUUGGUUCUUCUCAGGAUUUCCAAAUCCAAUCCAGAAAAAAACCUGACCUGAGGAACAGGUCAGAAUAGAGUAACUUAAACUAUGACCUGCAGUGUCUAUAGCUUAUUACCCUGUUUGUAAAGGCUUUACAAUAUUUUCUACAUUCUUUUUCCAAGUUGUAAAACAAAUUAUAAUUCAACAUCAACUUUCCACAUUACCAAAUUACCAAUAAAUGAAAUUAAAAUAAUUUGCAUUUAGUAAUUAAGUAAUUAGUUUCUCUGUUCAAAAUUAUAGGGUGAAUAUACCUCCAAAUGAAUCCAAAACUGCUUUAGUAUGGAGCUCCAAAAGGUUCAUAGUUAAAUAAAUAAAAACAACAUUUUGAAAUAAAUACUAUUUCGAUAAAUAACAGACAAAUAUAUAAUAUGGCCAUUAAAUUGUGAAAUAAGGCAAUGUUAUUAUGAAAUAUGUUUUAUUAUUCUUUAAUAUCAAAUUAUUAUGAUUAAAUAUUUCAUAAUGAUUAUUUUAUCAAUUUCAUACUUUUUUAAAUAAUUACUUUUUAUUCAUUUUCCAAGCUUUUAUUUAAAAAAAAAAAAGAAGUUUUUUACAAAGUCCAUUUUUAUUUCAUAAUGUCCUUUUCCAGAAUGGCCUUUUUAUUUCAUAAUGUCGUUUUUCAUCAGAAUGACUUGGUCUGUCAAUCAAAGCUAGAGGGUGGGACCUCUGCUUGAUCCUUUAAGAUCGAUUAGUUUUCCUAGACACUGGUCAUAGCCGUUCUUUAGGCGGCUAACUUAAACAUGCAGGAACAGCAAUCAGAAGAAGAGAUGACAGACUUCAGCGGUGUAUCUGCAGCUCUGCUGGCUCUAGCAGAUCAAAUCGAGCGUGAGAACUUGUCAGGAGAUGCUGUUUUGACUCGUCCGGAUGAUAUUUUUGAAAUACUUGGGGUGGUAGUCGCUGUUCUGGAUGCUAACAUCGAUGACAACAUUUUCGAAAGUUUGAGAGCGAUUGACAUAUGGAAUAUGUACAUGAGGAACUGUCUUUACGUGCUGGUCGUCCACGUCUUGAAACUCCGCGUGAGGCACUCAGGACUUUAGUGCUCUCAGGUAUAACCGUCCGGACUAUUGCCAAGAUGUUUGGUGUGUCACCCAGCACUGUUCGGAGGAGAAUGGUGGAAGAAGGUUUACGGAAAUCUGAUAGGUAUUCUUCUGUUGGAGAUGAAGAACUUGAUGCCAUAGUGCUGGAUAUUCAGCAUUGUCACCCAAAUGCCAGCUGCAGAAUGAUGUUGGGACAUCUGAAGGCCAGAAGAUUACACAUUCAAAGAUCUCGACUGGUAGAUUCCAUGAGACGUGUCAAUCCAGAGGGGGUCAUGAUGCGACAGUUAUCUCUUCAGACUGCAAGGCGCCGUCAAUACAAUGUGCCAGCACCAAAUUUCCUCUGGCAUAUAGAUGGAAAUCAUAAGCUGAUUUGAUGGAGAUUCGUUGUCCACGGAGGAAUAGAUGGUUUUUCCAGGUUGAUUGUCUACCUCAAUGCUGCCACUAAUAACAAAGCCACAACUGUGUUUGAUGGGUUCUUGUCAGCUGUCAGACAGUAUGGCAUACCAUCACGAGUUAGGUCAGACAAAGGAGGUAAAAAUGUAAAGGUGGCUCAUUUCAUGGUCCAGAUGAUGGGGGAGAACAGGAACUCCCACAUUACAGGCAGAAGUGUGCACAACCAGAGAAUCGAACGCCUGUGGAGGAUUGUGUAUGAAAACGUUCUUGACCUUUUCUACACAAUGUUCACUCAGCUGGAGAUUCAAGGACUACUCAAUCCUGCUGAAGAAAUUGACCUGUUUGCACUACACAGAUGCUUUUUGCAUCACAUUCAGGAUCAUCUUCAGGCAUUCAAAGAAGCUUGGAAUCUGCACGGACUCAGAACGGAAACAACUCUUCACCCCUUCAACUCUGGUCACUCUACAGAAAGGAUGGACAUGACUUUUUACAGGUACGCAAGUAUCUAAUCAAAAUGUGUUGUAUACAAAAUUUUACUCUGUAGAUGGCACAAAGGUUUACUCCUGCUGGGUCAAACACCAGAUAAAGUUGUUUUUACCUGAGAAGAGCUGAUUGUGGAUUUGGAUAACCCUGAAGAACGUGCACCUGCUGGCUCAGCAGGAGAGGACAGUUCUACAGCCAAUGUGUAAAACACUUUGAAUUCUUUUUCAGGUUCAUGACGACUAUGGUGUGGACUGGAUGGGACCACACAGUCCCCGUCCAUUAACCCUUUGCGCUUCAGUGCGUAGUAGGUGUACCGCCGGCGGUACACUUACUAAUUUGCAUAGGAAUUUCAAGAAUGCGAUUAUAAAUGCGAUUAUACAAACACUAUACGUCGAUGGAAAGCUUAGAUUCUCAUGAAUCCGCCGGUAUAAACCACUUUCAGAUGCGAUUACCACAGCAGGUGAGAAAAAUACAUUUGUCCGACAAAAACGAAUAUUCAUCCACCCGUUCUCUAUACACGGCUUCAACGCACACAGUGCGACUCACAUUUCCGGGUUCAUUAUUACACACAGAAAAAAAAGAUUCCACAAAAAACGGCCAUAAUCCAACCUUUUACAUCCAGGCAACACAAGCCAGUAAACUAUUUUGUCCAAAACAUGUCCUGAAGUCGGUAUAAAAUCCACGAAUCGGUCGUUUUCAAGGAAAUGCAUCUCGCAAUGCACGUCCAAUAUUCCCCGUAUUUUUCGUAAUUUUUUUAAAUUUAAAAAUAGAAUAUUAGCGAUUUUUUUUGUACUGAAAACGGCUGGAAUUGACUGCAGCUUAAAGGGUUAACUGAGGUUACCAUUCCAGUGAUACAGCUCCCCCGAUCAUUGAAUGAACAGGAACUUGCAGAAUUGCCACACAUUAACGUUCCACUCAGCCAAGCUCUGCAAGUUUACAUUCAAACUGUUAAUGCACUCAAACAAAUGCUUAAUAAUAACCUUUGAACUGAGUACAAGAUGUCACUCAUUUUUAAGCCAUUGCUUGUGUAGUUUCUGUAUAAAAAAAAUAUGCUCAUUAACCGAUAAAGGUCAUCCUUCCACUAAAAGUCUGAUUGCUGAUUUGUGGUAACUGAACUUUCAAUAAGAUGUGUCACAGUAAUAAAGACACUGUAAAUGA